rnacentral:siRNA from 1 species
UGUUAAUGAUGGAACUGUGCGA